rnacentral:rRNA from 1 species
GACGGACGCUGGCGGCGUGCUUAACACAUGCAAGUCGAACGAAGAGCGAUGGAAGCUUGCUUCUAUCAAUCUUAGUGGCGAACGGGUGAGUAACGCGUAAUCAACCUGCCCUUCAGAGAGGGACAACAGUUGGAAACGACUGCUAAUACCGCAUACGAUCUAAUCUCGGCAUCGAGGAUAUAUGAAAGGUGGCUGGUACAUGUAAGCUCUCACUGGAGGAGGGGAUUGCGUCUGAUUAGCUAGUUGGGGGGCUAACGGCCAACCAAGGCGAUGAUCAGUAGACGGUCUGCGAGGAUGAGCGGCCACACUGGGAUGGGGGCACGGCCAAGCACACUGCGGGAGGGAGCCGGGCGGGAUUCUUCGCAAUGGAAGCAAGUCGGAAGGAGGAACGCCGCGCGAGAGCUGACGGCAUUCGGGCUGCAAAGGUCAGUUAAUCGGGACGAAAGGCAUCCUUGCGAAUACGGAGAAGGAUUGACGGUACCGGAAGAGAAAGCCACGGCUAACUACGUG